GAAAUGGCAAAACAAGCUUAGGUUAGGUUACAAUGUAUCAUCCACUUGUAUUCAAGUUCAUAGAGGAAUUUGCUUCAACUUUUGAAGGAAAUAGAUGGGGUACUUAUGGAACAAGCAAAGCAGUAGAAUCAGAAUCGAAGAAGGAAGUGUCAUGGCCGGGUUAAUCUAUGAUCAUUGUGUCAUUUGUAAAUACGUAAACAGCUCUUGAAGAAUAUCCAAGAA
rnacentral:misc_RNA from 1 species